UCAACCCUCAAGCCCCUGGCUUGGUGUUGGAGUCCGGCUUCCGCUCUCGCGGCGACCGCUCCUAAAGACAAUGACGGCGUCCACGAGCGACCCCCGGUACAUUGAGCUUUUUAUCGAGCACGUACUGGAUUGGGCCUCGUUGGCACGGUCUGCCUCCCUUCGGGGAGAACAUUUUUACCAA
rnacentral:misc_RNA from 1 species